GAGGAGAGGAAAGGAGAGGAGAGGACAAAUCCUGAGGGAGAGUUGUUCGAGGCAAUGAAGGGGGGCAGAAGAGGGCAUUGGAGAAGAGCAAGGCUCUCUUUCUUCGGAAAAGAUACCCCUCCACUGAGGAGAAGUCAGAGCUGUUGGUGAGGGGGCUUCAGAUGAAGACGGUGAACAAAUGGUUCAUUAAUUACCGGUAAGAAAGGUCAAUAACAUGGUA